CGCAGAGUGCAGUGUCAACAGAAAUGCUACAGUGACAUUUCUCUCUCUCUCAAUUACUUGUAGGCUUUUCACUGCCUGUAUAAAAUACAUAUUGUGCUCCAGCGAGAUCCAUUGUACCGAGGUCAGCGGGAACUCAUUGUCCUUUUUAGCUUCAGAACAAGACAAUACUGACAUCUGUAAGAUUUGCUGUAAAUAAUCCAA
rnacentral:lncRNA from 1 species